GAUGAACGCUGGCGGCGUGCCUAAUACAUGCAAGUCGAGCGAACAGACGAGGAGCUUGCUCCUCUGACGUUAGCGGAGGACGGGUGAGUAACACGUGGAUAACCUACCUAUAAGACUGGGAUAACUUCGGGAAACCGGAGCUAAUCCCGGAUAAUCUCUUGAACCGCAUGGUUCAAUAGUGAAAGACGGUUUUGCUGUAACUUAUAGCUGGAUCCGCGCCGCAUUAGCUAGUUGGUAAGGUAACGGCUUUCCAAGGCAACGAUGCGUAGCCGAGCUGAGAGAGGGAUCGGCCACACGGGAGCUGGGACACGGUCCAGACUCCUACGGUAGGCAGCAGUAGGGAAUCUGCCGCAAUAGUCGAGAGCCUUACGGAGCAACGCCGCGUGAGAUAUGAAGGUCUUCGGAUCGUAAAACUCGGUUAUUAGGUAAGAACAAAUGUGUAAGUAACUAUGCACUUCUUGACGGUACCUAAUCAGAAAGCCACGGCUAACUACGUG
rnacentral:rRNA from 1 species